rnacentral:misc_RNA from 1 species
UCUGACAAUCCCAUAUAGUUUCGCUCUUUUAAUUUAGAGCUAUUCUGGCAUAUGCUUUCUGCAGAGGUUGAAGAAGCCAGUAGAGUAACAUUGCUUUGACCCUCCUCCUCCACAACACCAAGUAGUGGUGGAGACAUCAGAAGUAAGAAGAAAAACACUCAGAAUUCUCUGUAACCUGCUUAGAUUUAUGGAUUUGAAGCUGAAGAAGAGGAAGAUGAUCAAUUGAGUUUUUUUUUCUCUUUGAUUUUAGCAGAGAAAUUCACAGGGAGUGAGAGGAGUAGUAAGGAUCCUCCAUUUGGCAC